UCAAUGUGGCCUAAAUGACGACAUUGCGCGAUCACACCAUUUCAAGUCAAAAUGGUCGCCUUUUCUUGAACUUGUGAGCGAUGUCUAUGAUUUCAACGAUUUGCAAAGAUCCUGAAGAUUUUGGAGGCACAAAAUAAUCCUGAAGAGAGAAGUAAUCAACAAGAAAGGAGACCACAUGAAUCUUAUGAACAAAAUAGAUGGCGGGCAGGAAGAAGGGCCAUCGUCGCUACAAAAAAUCAGCGGAAGGCUGAUAACAUUUUUAACCGAAGACUAUCGAAGACAACUAACAGAUGUCUUGGAAAACGUCACUUUGAAAAAGGUAUUGCAACUUUUACGUUUCAUUUUCUCACAGUGUGUUAACGAGUGGAGCUCACUAAAUCCUGUAAUCUGAUUUGUCUACAUAUUUACCAGUUGGUUAGGCACUUAGUAAAUUUCUGAAAAUAUCCGCAAAAUUUCCAACAAAGUUUUCAAGUCUUGGCAAUCUUCAGAUGAUAUUGAGAAAUCUUUGCAAUUCUUCAGGAAGGUUUGGGACAUCGUCGGAAGUGUCGAGGGAAAGGUUGUUGUUAUUCAUUGUGGUAGAUGCAAUAAUGAAGUGUAUUAUUGUUUGUCUCACGAUGUAGUCA